rnacentral:rRNA from 1 species
GGAAUAUUGCACAAUGGGCGAAAGCCUGAUGCAGCGACGCCGCGUUAGUGAAGAAGCAUUUCGGUAUGUAAAGCUCUAUCAGCAGGGAAGAAAAUGACGGUACCUGACUAAGAAGUCCCGGCUAACGCCGUGCCAGCAGCCGCGGUAAUACGUAGGGGGCAAGCGUUAUCCGGAUUUACUGGGUGUAAAGGGAGCGUAGACGGCGAAGCAAGUCGGAAGUGAAAACCCAGGGCUCAACCCUGGGACUGCUUUGGAAACUGUUUUGCUAGAGUGUCGGAGAGGUAAGUGGAAUUCCUAGUGUAGCGGUGAAAUGCGUAGAUAGUAGGAGGAACACCAGUGGCGAAGGCGGCUUACUGGACGAUAACUGACGUUGAGGCUCGAAAGCGUGGGGAGCAAACA